UACGGAGGGUGCGAGCGUUAAUCGGAAUUACUGGGCGUAAAGCGCACGCAGGCGGUUUGUUAAGCUAGAUGUGAAAGCCCCGGGCUCAACCUGGGAUGGUCAUUUAGAACUGGCAGACUAGAGUCUUGGAGAGGGGAGUGGAAUUCCAGGUGUAGCGGUGAAAUGCGUAGAUAUCUGGAGGAACAUCAGUGGCGAAGGCGACUCCCUGGCCAAAGACUGAUGCUCAUGUGCGAAAGUGUGGGUAGCGAACAGG
rnacentral:rRNA from 1 species